rnacentral:rRNA from 1 species
ACUCCUACGGGAGGCAGCAGUGGGGAAUAUUGCGCAAUGGGCGAAAGCCUGACGCAGCGACGCCGCGUGAGGGAUGAAGGCCUUCGGGUUGUAAACCUCUUUCAGCGCAGAAGAAGCGAAAGUGACGGUAUGCGCAGAAGAAGCACCGGCUAACUACGUGCCAGCAGCCGCGGUAAUACGUAGGGUGCAAGCGUUGUCCGGAAUU